rnacentral:rRNA from 1 species
AGUAAUGCUUGGGAAUCUGGCUUAUGGAGGGGGAUAACGACGGGAAACUGUCGCUAAUACCGCGUAUUAUCGGAAGAUGAAAGUGCGGGACUGAGAGGCCGCAUGCCAUAGGAUGAGCCCAAGUGGGAUUAGGUAGUUGGUGGGGUAAAGGCCUACCAAGCCUGCGAUCUCUAGCUGGUCUGAGAGGAUGACCAGCCACACUGGAACUGAGACACGGUCUGG